rnacentral:lncRNA from 1 species
AUAAUCAACAGGAUAUUUGGUGCAAGACUAUUUAAGUACAAAGAUUUGAUUGUUGUUCUCGAGCUCUAGACAGAUCUUUCCAUUUGUCCCGAGGGCAAGGCACUAGUUACUUUUCUGUUGCUGUGAUAAAACACCACAGCCAAAGGCUCCUGGUUGCUGAGGGAUAUCUGUCCGUCAUCGUCCAUUAUGGAAGGGAGCAAGUAGCAGGAACGGCAGCAGGAGCAGGAAGCUGACAGACCGCCAUCUUUAACAGCAAGCAUGAAACAGAGAGAAAUGAAUGACAAAUGCCUGCCCCCAGGGACAUCCUCCAAGGCUGUGUCACCAAACAGUGUCAUUUACCAGCCUGAUGGUGUAAAUUAUUUGUCGCAUUAAGUCAUUCCAAAGUUAUCACACAAUCCGAUGCCUUAACAAACACCCUCUCAUUUAAUGUAGGUUAGGAAUCUGGGAGCACUCGGAUGGGUAUAAUUAAUCAUUGCUCACUGGGCUGUGAAUCACCUGGGGAAGAGUCUGUUGGUGAGGUCACUCACAUGGUUAAGCUUACCCUCAGUUCCUCCAGAGGCCACCCUUUUUUUCCUGCACCACAGAAAAGGUCUCCAUGGGGCACUUGAGAUGGCAGCCAGCUUCCCUGGGGAUUGGAUGAGCAAACAGGAAGGGGUGAGCAGGACAGACGACAGCCUGUUUUUACCACCUCAUCUCAGAAGUGACUCACCUGCUGGAAUGUCAGUUGUUAGAAGUCAGUGCUAGAUCCAGGCCACAGUGCAGGUAAGAGAAUCGGACAGGAGCGAGUAUGAGGCCAGGCGGGUCACUGAGCGCUUUCCUCAAUGCAGUCCGCUUUCUGACCCCGGGGCUUCACACUGCAGUCACAUGCAGAGCAUACAGCCUUCCAAAGACUUCCUCGAUUGUAGGCGAGUAACUGAACCCUAUUCAUAGUUGGAAAUGUGCUCAUCUUUUCUUACUGAUUUGAACAUGAAGAAAGGGCAAUGGUCUUCACUAUGGAAGGAAGCUAUAGGAGUCGAUACCAAUAAAGCCAGCCUAAUGAAUAACAUUCUAGAAAAAAAAUA